rnacentral:rRNA from 1 species
GACGAACGCUGGCGGCGUGCUUAACACAUGCAAGUCGAACGGAAAGGCCCUUCGGGGUACUCGAGUGGCGAACGGGUGAGUAACACGUGGGUGAUCUGCUCUGCACUUUGGGAUAAUCCUGGGAAACUGGGUCUAAUACCGAAUAGGACCACGCGCUUCAUGGUGUGUGGUGGAAAGCUUUUGCGGUGUGGGAUGGGCCCGCGGCCUAUCAGCUUGUUGGUGGGGUAAUGGCCUACCAAGGCGACGACGGGUAGCCGGCCUGAGAGGGUGACCGGCCACACUGGGACUGAGAUACGGCCCAGACUCCUACGGGAGGCAGCAGUGGGGAAUAUUGCACAAUGGGCGCAAGCCUGAUGCAGCGACGCCGCGUGAGGGAUGACGGCCUUCGGGUUGUAAACCUCUUUCACCAGGGACGAAGCGUAAGUGACGGUACCUGGAGAAGAAGCACCGGCCAACUACGUG